rnacentral:rRNA from 1 species
UACGAAGGGGGCUAGCGUUGUUCGGAAUUACUGGGCGUAAAGCGUGCGUAGACGGUUAUUUAAGUCGGGUGUGAAAGCCCCGGGCUCAACCUGGGAAUUGCAUUCGAGACUGAAUAGCUAGGGUACGGUAGAGGGAAGUGGAAUUUCCGGUGUAGCGGUGAAAUGCGUAGAUAUCGGAAGGAACAUCAGUGGCGAAAGCGACUUCCUGGACCAGUACCGACGUCAGGCACGAAAGCGUGGGGAGCAAACAGG